ACAGGGAAAACCCUUCAUAUUUCUGAGAGGAGGUGGCUGGGAGGAGAAAGAAGAAAUACAUGUCAUUAGACAUGAAUAUCCCAGCAGUCUGGCCCCCCUUGGGGUUGUACUUUGUUGGAUUCUGUGGUGGAAACAUGUUCCAGAACAGUGGGUUUAUCCUAGCAUAUAUUUCAGAGCCUCCCCACAGUUGGCAUGACACUACGUCUAACGUGGUGCCAGACAGGAUUUUAGAAAUGGCUGAGGGAGGUGUCUAGGGGGCUGAGCUUUAGAUAUCACCCCAUUUCUUCAUAUCCUACCAUAUGCCUUAUCCUUGACAGAGAUGGGAAAGGAAAGAAGCGGUGGACAGAAGAGCCCGAGCAUCAGAAAGAAGGCAUUGCAUGUGUGACCUUACAACUAAGGCUGUGACCUCAGCAGAGGGUGCCCAUGUGGCAUUUGAAGGAACCAGAUGAGGAGAAGCAUACUUCAAUGGAUGCAACUACUGUCACAUGGGCGACAGACCAAACAAGUGGCAGCACAUCAGAGACCAGCAAGGAUCCAGGGGAUGGCACAUGACCCUAAUGACACUUCUUUUCUGGACUCCUUGGAGGAGUUUGCAUGACAUUCUGUUUGACGUAAAUUCAGCAUGUGUCCCAAGUAAAUCAACAACAGCUGUUUUAAAUAGCAGAUUGUAUCCCAAAAUAUCAUUAUGAACCAGGGGAAGAAUUGCUUGGAUGCUUAUGUUUUCGGAUUACACUGAUGGAUCCUAGCAUCUGGACAUUGUGGCCAUGGGUAGACAGAGUUCAAGUUGGCUGAGAGAUGGUGGAAGCAGGAUCUCGAAAAACGGUCUACACACCCACAUUAAUUGCAGCAAUAUUCACAAUAGCCAAAACGUAGAUGCAACCCAAGUGUCCAUCAAUGAAUGGAUGGAUAAAUAAAAUGAGAGAGAGACACAGCGAGAGAGAGAACACAAGCAGCAGGAGAGGGAGAGGGAGAAGCAGGCCCCCCACGGAGCAGGGAGCCCGAUGCGGGGCUCGAUCCCAGGACCCUGGGAUCAUGACCUGAGCCGAAGGCAGACGCUUAACGACUGAGCCACCCAGGCGCCCCCAAGUAGGGAAUUUCUAACAUAAACUACAGCAUGGAUGAAACUUGGGGACAUUAUGCUAAGUGAAAUAAGCCAGUCACGAAAUGGACAAAUAUUGUACAACUCCAAUGGAGAGUCGUUGCUUAAUGGAUGUAAAGUUAAGAUUUUGCAAGAUGAAUAGAGUUCUGGAGACUGGUUAUACAACUAUGUGAAUGAGCUUAACACUAUUAUACACUUAAAAAUAAUUAAGAUGAUAAAUUUCAUGUUACAUAUAUUUUACCAUCACCAGAAAUUAAAAAAAAAAAAAAAGAUUAAACAAAAAAAAGGCUGUGUGAGUAGUCUCAUUAUCUCAUGGAACUGCCAGAUUUGACCUUGUGCCCCAGAUUCUCUGUGACAUCACACCUUCUGUCUUUGGACUGACAGCCCUCGAAAGCUGGACCCUUGGCCAGAGCGAGUCCACCUUUCCUACAUAUACUCCCAGCCUGAGGACAGUCCCUUCCCAAGCCCCCACACUCAGCCAUUGGCAGGGUUUUGGGCCCCCUGCUACUUUGGGAUAAGGUUUGAAUAUAUCUCCGUUGCUCAUAAACCCCCAAAGACAUUAAUGAGAAACAUCUGUUUCUAUCGCUUAUAUCCAAGUUUCGCUUAGUACAAGUAAAAACGUGAAUCCGGAAAGUUCACUGGUCUAGUUUGUGUUUUCCCACUGAUUUGGUGCCCUUUUAUUUGAAAUGCUUGGUGGGGUACCUGAUGAAAUGGUUGCCAGUCCCAGACCUCUCUUGCCACAGAGAAAAUGAAUCUGGGGAACAAAAUCACUUAUUUAUUUUUAAAUAUUUACUGUUAAAA